rnacentral:rRNA from 1 species
CAGUAAGCGGAGGAAAAGAAACUAACUAGGAUUCCCUCAGUAGCGGCGAGCGAACAGGGAAGAGCUCAGCACCGAAUCUCGCACUCCGAAAGGGUGCCGAGAAAUGUGGUGUUCGGGAGGAUCGUGCGCGUCUGUCCGGUAGGAUCGUCCAAGUCUCCAUGAACGGGGCUAUCAACCCACAGAGGGUGUCAGGCCCGUAGGCUGGCGAGCCGAGACCGUGUACCGGAUCCCUUCCUAAGAGUCGGAUUGCUUGAGAGUGCAGUCCUAAGCGGGAGGUAAACUCCUUCUAAAGCUAAAUACUGCCACGAGACCGAUAGCGAACAAGUACCGCGAGGGAAAGUUGAAAAGAACUUUGAAGAGAGAGUUCAAGAGUGCGUGAAACCGUUCAGGGGGUUAAACGGGUGAGCCCUCGAAGGUCGAAGGGUCCCUCCUCCCGUCGUGCGGCGAGUGCAGGUGGGUCGUGGCGAUCCGUAACAAGACGCCCGGCCCGCCGCGACGCUCGCCGCCGGCCGCAAGUGAGGGGCCUGGUAGGACUCCGCAACCGAUUGGGACGUCGUCAUGAGGGUCGUCGGUAACGGCGGGCGCGGUUUCGGCCGCGCNCGUCCGUCCGGCGGUUCCGGACGAUCGACCCGAUCGUGUCCUGUCUUCCUCACGGAGAUCAGCGGAGAGUACAAAGUCGGGUCUCACCCGACCCGUCUUGAAACACGGACCAAGGAGUCUAACAUGUACGCGAGUCGUCGAGUCGCAACGAAACUCGUGAGGCGCAAUGAAAGUAAAGUGUCCCCGACGAGGGUGUGCACGAGGGGAGAUGCCGUCUUUAUACAAACCGAAGCGGCCGCAUCCCGUGGGCGUUCGGAACCGCGAUCAGUCGGCCGAACGAACCAAGAGCGUACACGUUGGGACCCGAAAGAUGGUGACCUAUGCCUGGCCAGGUCGAAGCCAGGGGAAACCCUGGUGGAGGACCGCAGCGAUUCUGACGUGCAAAUCGAUCGUCGGAGUUGGGUAUAGGGGCGAAAGACUAAUCGAACCAUCUAGUAGCUGGUUCCCCCCGAAGUUUCCCUCAGGAUAGCUGGUGCUCGCAUGGAAAACGAACGGAGUUUCAUCCGGUAAAGCGAAUGAUUAGAGGCCUUGGGGUCGAAACGACCUCAACCUAUUCUCAAACUUUCAAUGGGUGAGAAGCCCGGCCUUUCACUUGAGUGAGGCCGUCGGCAUUUCGAAUCUGAGCGCCCAGUGGGCCAUUUUUGGUAAGCAGAACUGGCGCUGUGGGAUGAACCAAACGCCCGGUUAAGGCGCCAAAACGACGCACAUUUCGGAUCCCACGAAAAGGAGUUGGUUGCUAAAGACAGCAGGACGGUGGCCAUGGAGGUCGGAAUCCGCUCAGGAGUGUGUAACAACUCACCUGCCGAAGCAACUAGCCCUUAAAAUGGGAGGCGCUAUAGCGUCGUGCCUAUACCGGGCCGCCGGUCGGCAGAGCAGAACGCGGUUUCGUACCGCGCUGAGGCCCCGGUGAGUAGGGGGGUCGCGACGGUGAGCGUGGAAGGGUUGUGGGCGUGAGCCUGCCCGGAGCCGCCGUCGGUGCAGAUCUUGGUGGUAGUAGCAAAUACUCCAGAGGGAUCCUGGAGGACUGACGUGGAGAAGGGUUUCAUGUGAACAGUGGUUGGACAUGAGUCAGUCGAUCCUAAGCCGCAGCUGAAAAGCGACCUAGUGUACAGGUGUGAUCUUAUACGGUUUUUUUUUUANNAAAAAACCCCAUUCGGAGGCACCACUGGGUUAAGGCGAAAGGGAAUCCGGUCCUAAUUCCGGAACCGAGCUGCGGCUACGUCCGUGAGAAACGAUCCUCGUUGACACGGUCGCGGUAACGCGAUACAAACCGAAGAAGCUGUCGAGAACCCCGGGAAGAGUUUUCUUUUCUGCUUGAGGGACCGAGACCCUGGAAUUCCGUCGCGGAGCGAGAGGGUUUUGGAUAGGCGCUGUUCAAAAGGCGAUCCCGAAGAGCGGCGCGUUUCCGCGCCGUCCGUGGUCGUUCUCGACUGGCCCUUGAAAAUUCGGUGGGAGGGUUACGUUUUUGGACGUUCGCGCUCGCUCGUACCGAUAUCCGCAUCAGGU